UUCUGGUUGAUCCUGCCGGAGGCUACCGCUAUUGGAGUUCGAUUAAGCCAUGCGAGUCGAGAGUCUUAGGGACUCGGCGCACCGCUCAGUAACACGUGGGUAACCUGCCCUAUGCUGGGGAAUAACCUCGGGAAACUGAGAAUAAUGCCCCAUAGCCCACUACGCCUGGAACGGUGAGUGGGUCAAAGCUCCGGCGGCAUAGGAUGGGCCUGCGCCGUAUCAGGUUGUAGGGGGUGUAAAGUACCCUCUAGCCAUCAACGCGUACGGGUGUUGGGAGACAUUGCCCGGAGAUGGAUUCUGAGACACGAAUCCAGACCCUACGGGGUGCAGCAGGCGCGAAAACUUGGCAAUGCGAGCAAUCGUGACCAGGGAACUCCGAGUGCGUAGGGUAAGACCUACGCUUUUCUUGACUCUUCAAAAGUCUUGGAAUAAGGGGUGGGUAAGGACGGUGCCAGCCGCCGCGGUAAUACCGGCGCCUCAAGUGGUAGUCGCUUUUAUUGGGCCUAAAACGUCCGUAGCCGGUCUGGUGCAUUCGUGGGUAAAUCAACCCGCUCAACGGGUUGAAUUCUGCGAGCACGGCCAGACUUGGGACCGGGAGAGGUGUGGGGUACUCUCAGGGUAGGGGUAAAAUCCUGUCAUCCUGAGAGGACCACCUGUUGCGAAGGCG
rnacentral:rRNA from 1 species